AGCGAGUGCCUACGGGAGCAGCAGUGGGGAAUAUUGGGCAAUGGGCGCAAGCCUGACCCAGCAACGCCGCGUGAAGGAAGAAGGCUUUCGGGUUGUAAACUUCUUUUCUGAGGGACGAAGAAAGUGACGGUACCUCAGGAAUAAGCCACGGCUAACUACGUGCC
rnacentral:rRNA from 1 species